CCCGGUCGCUGUUCCCUGGGCGCCCGCUUCUCCAGGCGCCGGGGCGGAAGCCAGGAUCGAGAAGGAAGGGAGGCAGGGGCUCGGUCCACGCGGACCCUCUUCCUGCUGGCGGCGAACGCAGGUGCCAGGGGUCCUGCUGCGCCCCCCUUAGCGGCUCGCGCAAGUUGCCUGCGGAGCGCAUGUUGGCGAGAAACGAAGCAGCCUUCUGGGUUUGGUGCAUAUGUUUUCUAAGGAGGGUUUUUGUUUUGUUUUGUUUUUUUGGAGACUCCACUAGAGCGGCUGCAGCCAGAUGGAAGUAAUCAGAACCCAACAACGGAGAGAGGGUAGAAAAACCCUCGCUGAAUUUUCGGGCCAAAGUGUGGAUGGGACUAUGUGUCAAAAAACUUGCUUGAGCUAACUGGAGGAGUCCUGGGACCUCCAGCCACCCCACAGCCCAGAACUGGCCGCCCGACUUGGAGAAGGAGGAGGGCCGCUGGCUAGAGUGCCCUCCCAAGGCCUCCAAGGCUCCGGAAUCAUCCCAACAGUGCCUUGUGAGAGAUUUUUUAAUAUUUCUAUUUAACGUUUGCAGGACACUUAAAGCCAAGUGAUACGGUUCUAAUUUCCUUUGUAUUAUUUAACCUUGUCGCCUCUGAGAGGUAGUCUCUGCUCCCCCUGCACAGCUGAGAAGACUGAGGUUUAAGGAAAUGGAGGGACUUGUCCAAGACCAACUCAACUCCUGCUGGAAUCCAGACACUCACAGAACCUUUCCCGGAUUAUUUUGGCAAAAAAGAUGACUGUGGAGAAGAUGGAAUGUUUUCAGCGCUGAGGAGAGGCUGUGUGGGCACACAGCACAAAGGCAGCUGCUUACAAGAGGCCCCACUUAAGAACAAACCUGCUGGCACCUCCACCUGGACCACCCAGCCUCACACAGUGAGGAACAAAUGACAGUGUUUCAGCCCCCCAGUCUAGGCUUUUCUUACAGCAGCCUGAGCUAAAACAGAACCCAGAACAUGGUCAUGUCAGAAAGGUGUGGGCAGCAUCAAACACAUCCAUAAUUAUGUCAGAGGACUCCGGAUGCAUUCAAAGGAUUUCCGGGCCCAGGGAUUUAGCUCAGUGGUGCCACCACCUGCCUUGCAAGCGCAAGGUACUGAUUUCGAUUCCCGAUACCAGAAAACAAAAAACAAAAAAAAGGAUUUCCCCCCACCAACUAUGAGAUAUGUGUGUUUCCAUGAGACUAAUAAUGCCAAUGAAUUAAAACACAUCAAGUCAGGUGUGGUGGCACAUGCCUGUAAUCCUUGCUACUUGGAUAGCUGAGGCAUGAAGAUCUCUACUUUGAGACAGUUUGGGCAACUUGGCAAGGUCCUAUCUGAAAUUAAAAAUAAAAAGGGCUAGAGAUGUAGCUCAGUGGUAGAGCUCUUGCUUAGCAUGCACAAGAACCUUAGGUUUAAUCUCUAGCACCACCAAAAAAAAAAAAAGGCAACAAAUAUGCUUAGAAACAUCAAAUGGUACCCUAUUUGUCUGAGCAAUUUUUAUAUGUCAGUUAAAAAAUUAAAACAGCUGGCAUUGUAGCUCAGUAGGAAAGCACUUGCCUAGCAUGAGUAAGCCCCUGAGUUUAAUCCCUAGCACUGCAAACAAUAAUAAUAAUAAUAAAUAAAAAUUACAUUAAAAUAUGUUUAAAUCCAUAUAUAUAUAAAGAUAUUCAGAAAAAUCCCAACUCACUGAUUUUCUUGGACCUAUGCUGUUCUUUUUGUUUGUUUGUUUUGGUACCAGGGAUCGAACUCAGGACCUUGCGGUUGCAAGGCAGGUGUGACACCACUGAGCUAAAUGCUUGGCCCAAACCCAUGCUGUUCUUUACAAUACCCAAUAGCAAGCAGUAUGUGGCUACUGAGUACUUCAAGUGUGCCAAGGCCAACUGAGGAGCUAAAUUUUUAUUUUAUUCAUUUGUUCCUUGAUUUUGUUUAUUUGUUUUUUGUUUUUUUGGUUUUGGGGACAGGGUCUCACUAUGCAACCCAGGCUGGCUUUGAACUCACAGAUCCUCCUGCCUCAGCUUUCCAAGUACUAGGAUUACAAGCAUGUGCCACCACACGUGACAUUUUCAUUGAUUUGGGUAGUACUGGGGAUUGAACCUAGGGACUUCACUCUGAGCUGUAUUCCCAAUACUUUCUUUUAAAUGUUAUUUUAAGACAGCAUCUCACUAAGUUGCUAAAUUACCCAGGCUGGGCUCAAGCUUUUGAUUCCCUUGCCUCAGCCUCCAAGAGCACUGGGGUUACAGGCUUAUUUUAAAUGUAAAAUGGGGUAUCUAAUUCAAUCACUGGAAACCUUUUGGGCGUGUCCAGAACAACUUGGAUAUGUGAAUCUGUGUUUUCUGCUAUAAAUUUUGUAAUAUCUAAAUGAAAGUCAAGUUGUUUUGUUUUGGUUUUUGUUGUUGUUCCUUUUUUCUUCUGGGAAAUACGUAGCUCUCACUCUGUUGCCCACACUGUUCCCAAACCCCCUGGCUCAAGUGACCUUUCUACCUCUUCCUCCUGAGUAGAUGGGGUACACAUCUGUGUCCUGUGCUAAGUGGGCUCAAGUAUUUUUUAGGAAAAUUCAACAUUUGAGAUAGGCGUGGUGGCACAUGCCUGUGAUCCCAACACCAGGGAAGCUGAGGUAGGAGGAUCUGUGAGUUUGAAGCCAGCCUGAGGUACAUAGUGAGUUCAAGGCUGAACUGCAGAGUGAGACCUUGUCUCAAAAAACCAAAACAUUGACAUCCAAAUUGAGUGUAAAAUACACACUGCGUUUCAAAG
ensembl:lncRNA